rnacentral:rRNA from 1 species
AAACUAACAAGGAUUCCCCUAGUAACGGCGAGUGAACCGGGAAGAGCUCAAAUUUGAAAUCUGGCGUCCUUCGGGCGUCCGAGUUGUAAUCUAUAGAAACGUUUUCCGUGCCGGACCGUGUCCAAGUCCCUUGGAACAGGGUAUCAGAGAGGGUGACAAUCCCGUACUUGACACGACGACCGGUGCUCUGUGAUACGUUCUCUACGAGUCGAGUUGUUUGGGAAUGCAGCUCAAAAUGGGUGGUAAACUCCAUCUAAAGCUAAAUAUUGGUGGGAGACCGAUAGCGAACAAGUACCGUGAGGGAAAGAUGAAAAGCACUUUGGAAAGAGAGUUAAACAGUAUGUGAAAUUGUUGAAAGGGAAACGAUUGAAGUCAGUCGUGACCGUUGGGUUCAGCCGGUUCUGCCGGUCUACUCCCUUCGGUCGGGUCAACAUCGGUUUUGACCGGCGGAUAAGGAAGGGAGGAAUGUGGCACCCUCCGGGGUGUGUUAUAGCCUCUCGUCGCAUACGUCGGUCGAGACCGAGGAACGCAGCUCGCCUUUAUGGCCGGGGUUCGCCCACGUCCGAGCUUAGGAUGUUGACAUAAUGGCUUUAAACGACCCGUCU